CUGAGACCAAUUUAAGAGAGAAUAUUGUUCUAAAAUUCCCUGCUUGUUUUAUGCAAGCUAGUUUACUUUACCAGAGUACUGAUUAGUUAAUGAAGCAGUCCUGUGCUAAAUGAGUGCAGGUGGCAGUUACGAUUUCCCAGGCAUGAAUGCUUUCAGAGCAUGGUGUUGACUGAGCAAAUUGGGAAGCUGUUAGAAUGAAUGGGUGUAUUUGGGAAAUUGGCAGUGAACAGGUGGGCUGAAGACAGUGGAAUGAAUAUGAAAGACAUCUGGGAGUCUGAGCACCCAGCUUUCUCCCCUGUACUGGCAGAGCUGCAUGCACGAGGUCUGCGUUCUGUCAGUCCUGGAAAGAGCACCCUGCAAUGAAGGCAGAAGUGACAGCUGGAGGGGGACUUCGUGAGGGCAGUGUGUUUGAGGGCAUGAGUCUGAGCAGUGAGGCCUCUCAGUGCUUUGAGGAUCUCUUCCGGAGCCACCUUUUGCUGGAAGACUGUUUACCCUGCAGGACUUCUGCCUUGGUAUAUUUAAGGCAAGUGGGUCACAGCUGUGACUUGUUGAUCUUCACUUAGUCACUGAUUCUCUGCCUUCUCUUGCAGUUCCCCGGAAGCUUUGCUGAGGGACAGUCCCUGCAGAGCAAGCCUGAACUUCUUAAUCUGUCUCAAGGCUACUUAGAGACCUGUUACAGAUAGCAGAUUCUGGCUUCAAAACUACUGCCUGGAUUAAAGCAUGCUGCUAGAACAGAUGCUGGUGACAGCUGAGGAAAUCCUCCUGCAGUAAGUCAAGGCUUUUAGUUGAGCCAGGACACCUGGGCUGAGGCUUUGUAGCCUAACAGUCUCUCGUGUAAUGUGAAGGCCCUCUGUGUGAGGAGGUUCCAGUGGAGCUGGGACAGCAGCACGUUCCCUUUAUUGCCAUUUGUCCUGUGCCACAUGCUUCAGUGAAGGAGUUAUGUAAAUUCUGCAGGAAAAAAAGUCUUUAGGAAAUGUAUUGUGCUUUAGUCAGGAAACUUUCAGCUUUAAAAGAACAUUCUGGGGCUGUUGGGAAAUUAAAUCCUCAGACACCUCACCACUUACCCUGCAAUGCUCCCAGCACACCAUAGCUGGCAGUAGUUGAGCUUCUGAUGAAGCAAGGGUGGGAACCAGAACAUCUGAGUAAAGCUGCUUCCUCCUUCAGCUCCCCUGGGCCCCCUUGGGCAAGAGUAGAGAUGAAACAGGGAGAAGAAUACUUCUGAUUCAUCCAACCAUCCCCUGCCAGAGAGCCUUGUUCAUGUCUAGUCUGGUUCUGUUAUCUCACUGGGGUCCUGGUGUUUCCUUGGGAAGACUGUUUCACCAACUGUUAGGCUUCAUGACUAAGGAUUUCCCACCAGUCUUUUCAUUGCAUUACCGCCUUCCUCUGACUGCUAGAGUCAUCGUGGUGUGUGCCUGCUGCCCUGCAGAUAACAGCCUUGCAGAUCCAAAGGGAUUCUGAGAUUAUAUUUCCUCUUACGUACUGUUAUUUAGCUUUGUAUUUAAAGCUGUCAUUUCUUGCUUCUUGAUUAGCUCGCUGAUAGUAGGUAUUUCAACUACCGUUUGCUUUCUGAGGUUAAACCAGAGGUGGCAUUUGGCAGUAAGCAUCCCUCCUUGGGGCCUUUGGGUAUCACUGCAGGCUGAAUUUUCUCCCUCCCUCAGGUUCAGAGGUACAGUUGCAGUAUUGAAGUCUUUGUGUUCCACAACUGGAUGUUAAGAUACAGGAGUUCCCUUUCCAUUGUAGGGGGAGCUGUGUGAAGGAAGGAGCUAGAGGUGGCAUAUCAGGGGUGGAGAACUGCAAACCAAGGACUGAAGGCUUAAGAAGCAGCGAACACUGAGCCUUAGAGAAGCUGCUGGUGAGAUCCAGGCUAUUGGAAAGCAUCUCCCUGUUAGAUUUCUGACAACAUCUGUGGUUCCUUUGUUCUCUGAGGAGGUCUUGUCCCUCCUUUUGGGCCUAUGCUGUUGUAGAUAAGGAAGUUCUAUCAGUUCAAAAGACAGUGUAUUUGAAUAUCCCCUGCUUCUGUUACUGUUAGUGGCAAUUUCCAGUUCCUGUGAACUGACAGAUUAAAAUGCAUGUGCUUGCACGUACCAUGUGUUCUUCCAGCUGGCUGAAACCACAGUGACGUUUGUAUGUCACUAUCCAGACACCUCUAAGAGCACCUGCCAGCACUUAGCAGAGCCAUUCCCUACCAUGCAGGGAUGGUGGUGUGCUUAGUGCCUGUACCAGCCUAACAGUUUGUUUGUAAAAGGCUCAUUUCUGCCCUACAGCUCUCAUGCUUUUCCUCCAGAGGGAUUCCUGACAGUUCAGCACUUAAACAGUACCUUUCUUCACGCAGCACAGAUCUUCUGUACCUCCUACCAUUCCCAAAAGGUUAGGCUGCCAAGGCUGGGGAUGUCACGUCUCGUACAGAGCAGAGGGCUUUUCCAUGCUAAAGCAGGAUUCCUCCCAGCAGAACAGUGUCAUGCAGCCACAAAACCAAGCUUUCAACCUCACUCAUUCGUUUUACAACUAUCUGAGCUGAGUCCAUUGUCACCCGCUCCCCACUUGUGCUAAUCAUUUCAUUAUCUCUUAAUGAGAGCCUAGAGCUACUGAGAUGAUAUGGUAUCACAGAACUCACAUAAUCCACUUCAAAUUAGUGGAAGUGCAGAACUGAUUAAAACAGUGAGAAGCAAAACACUCCACUUCAGUCAUAGGGGCCAGCACACAUCAACAGAUGACGUUCUAUAGUUUAUACCUGGGGCUGUAACUGGGCCUCUGCUGACAGAUGAAAGCAGUUCCCCCUCAGGUACACACACCCCCAGGAAAACAGUGCCUAGGCUUAGCUGUAGCUUAGCAGAAAGUGGGUGAGAAGCUUUCCAGCCUGGCAGACAUGCAGGGCUCACAGCUGGACGUGCUCUCACUUUCUCACCACUCCUGGCAGGCUGUGGCUGCAUCUGUAAGCAAUCAAGCUGUGCAGAUGCACACCUCAGGUUUUGUGCCUUCCUCUAACGACUUGCUUCCCAGAAGUCAAACUUCAAGAGGUGCCAUACUUGAAAUCAAUUCAGUUUAUAGAAAAGCAGAACAAAGGUACAGCAGUAUCAAAAACAGAGCAGAUAGAGUUGGCAGUCUUAAUUUAUUCAGCUUAAACAAAGAUUUUUUUAAAAAAUAAUCAAUAAAUAAAACAGACAUUACCAAGGGAACACUAUAUUGAGUGGAGUACCAUCAGGGACAUUAAAUAGAACCCCCACACACAGCUUAAAGUAGCUCUCCACGCCCCAAGGAAAGGACGUUCCGUAAGGCCUAACUGUUCACAAACAAGGCUGGCUGCUCUGUGCCAACCUUUGCCUAUUCAUAAUGCCCUAUUCAGAGACGGAGGAUUUGUCACUCUCCUUGCACAAAACACUACUGUUGAAGUGAGGGCUUUGUGUGUUAUUUGCUUGCCACUGGGGGCAAAAGUGCUAAAAUCGUUUAUCCAACCUUACAGAAGAGGGAUGCUUCCAACAGCAGCUGUCCCUCAGGACACGGAUCUGGGAUCUCUGGGCUGACUUGAAAUGCAGUAGGUAGAAGUGGUUACCAGCAAAACCAGAGCUGGACUGGCCCAAAGGAGUUCAAGUACAGCAAAUUGGUUGGAUGCGUUGGGUGAAGCUGAACACGUUGGUACCUUCUUACAGAUAGGGGCAUCAGUAUUCCCACUGAGUACCAGUAAAAGCCCACUAAAGCUGAGGUGUAGUCUGCCUGUCAGACGUUCCAGCUUCGUAUUUCUUUUGCAAACCAUGGGUUUGUUUGUCAAAAAAACCAUAAUUACCCUGAAAACAUAUUAAAUUAUCAGCUAAAGUGCAGGGUCCUUGCAUGGAGGACUGUGCAUCCAUUUAGGCUCCAAAAUAUUGGCUUCAACAGAGCCCAUAAGGACCCCCCCCCAGCCCCAUUAUCAGCAACAAAUCCAGUUUCAGAAAGCAGUGCCUAUAAGACUUCAGGUACACAAAAAUCAACAGCACUUCAGUGAGGUUUCAUGGAAAGAACAGAACAAAUUCCCAUCCUGUAUUACUAACUCUGCAUACGAGAAGCAUCCCUACCCCCAACCACGUCACCCUUCAGUGAAGUACAGACAGGAGCACAACCCCACAAAGCUGUACUUUGGCUACCAAGAAAAGAAGCGCAAACCUUUAGAAAAAUACAAUGCAAGAAAAAAUUUGAGAUAAAAAUAUAGACCUUUGGUUAAAAACCAUCCCUUUAACAAGAGUCCUUUGUAACUCAGCUAGAACAAAAAAAGCUUCACUUAGACUGAACAGUAGUAAAAAUUAGUUCUAAGAGCUAACCCACAGAACCCUCCUCGAAUGUCAGUACGUUGCCUUUUCUUUGCAGGAUUUACACAUUUGAUGUUCAGUAUUUAUAGGGAUUGUUAUAUUUGCAGCAAUAAACUAUAUAAAUUUGUCAUGAAGAGAAUGUAUCACGAGCUCCUCCACCAACAGUCUGUACAAAAACAGUGCUACAAGUUCUUAAUUAAAGAACCGUUGAAACAUGUAGUUUUCUUCAGAUACCAAAUAGCCAAACUUCUUGUAGAAGGCCACGUUUUUUGGCAGACACUCCAGUGUGAUUUUGUAACAGUUCAGUCUCUUACUUAGCAAUGUAAGAGUGGACAUUAAUAGUUUACCGAGCUGCUUUCCUCUGCACUCCCCGCUUAC
rnacentral:lncRNA from 1 species